UCAGCACCUGAAGUGAAGUAGGACCACCCGCUGAACUUAAGCAUAUCAUUAAGCGGAGGAAAAGAAACUAACAAGGAUUCCCUCAGUACGGGCGACGGAAGCGGGAAAAGCCCACAGUGGUAAUCUCCGUCCGGCGGACGGCGAAUUGUAAUCUGAAGGCAGCGGGCCUAGUCGAUGUCCAGACGCAGAAGUGUCGCCGAGGCGGCCGCCAAAGAGGGUGAGAGCCCCGUCUGCGGUGUCAGGAUACGGCAAAGGUCAGCAGUCAAAGAGUCGUGUACUUUGAUACUAGUGCACAAAGCGGGAGAUAAACUUCUUCUAAGGCUAAAUAAACGUAGGAGACCGAUAGCGAACAAGUACUGUGAAGGAAAGAUGAAAAGCACUUUGGAAAGAGCGUCAAAAGACUUGAAAUCGUUGAGGCGGACCCGGUAGAAAUGAAUUAUGGGGGCGCGCGCGGGGGCGUCUGCGAAAGCGGAUAACUAGCGAGCGUCAGCAAGGCAUGAUGGAGUGGACGUAUGCCAGAGGCAGUGCUUGAAGUGCUUCGGUACGGUGAGUGCAGGCUAGGUGUACGUCGGC
rnacentral:rRNA from 1 species